AACCAGAUGGCAAGCAAACUGAAGUUCCUCCUCCAGUUGUCAGAGAAAGUUGUCAUUCAAAAUAUCGUGAAGGCACCAGCUUUUUUCAGUCAAUAUUUUCAGAUAAGAAUGGCUCCAUUCUGAAACCAUUAUGAUCAAGAGGACGUGCAAACCUGACGCAGUCCUCAGUGAGCACAAUUGUCAGCAACUCCGUCAUUAAGCAAAACAGGCACUAAAUGAAACCGUGACUAUGCUGAUGAUCUUGCUUCCGCUUUCCAUUGCUAUAUUAUAUGAGCUGCAAAGAUCAUAAACAUGAGGAUUGGCCACAAGUUACUUUUUUUAUUACUGUUGUAACAGCAAACAGUUGCUCUCCAAGACAAUCACUAAACAAAGACUACCUGUACAAUGCAUUUUUAAAAUAAAUCUGGAACAUCUACAAACUA